CCCGGUAAACGGCGGCCGUAACUAUAACGGUCCUAAGGUAGCGAAAUUCCUUGUCGGGUAAGUUCCGACCUGCACGAAUGGCGUAAUGAUGGCCAGGCUGUCUCCACCCGAGACUCAGUGAAAUUGAACUCGCUGUGAAGAUGCAGUGUACCCGCGGCAAGACGGAAAGACCCCGUGAACCUUUACUAUAGCUUGACACUGAACACUGGUCCUUGAUGUGUAGGAUAGGUGGGAGGCUUUGAAGCGCGGACGCCAGUUCGUGUGGAGCCAACCUUGAAAUACCACCCUUUAAUGGCUGGUGUUCUAACGUAGGCCCGUGAUCCGGGUUGCGGACAGUGUCUGGUGGGUAGUUUGACUGGGGCGGUCUCCUCCUAAAGAGUAACGGAGGAGCACGAAGGUUAGCUAAUCCUGGUCGGACAUCAGGAGGUUAGUGCAAAGGCAUAAGCUAGCUUGACUGCGAGCGUGACGGCGCGAGCAGGUGCGAAAGCAGGUCUUAGUGAUCCGGUGGUUCUGAAUGGAAGGGCCAUCGCUCAACGGAUAAAAGGUACUCCGGGGAUAACAGGCUGAUACCGCCCAAGAGUUCAUAUCGACGGCGGUGUUUGGCACCUCGAUGUCGGCUCAUCACAUCCUGGGGCUGAAGUAGGUCCCAAGGGUAUGGCUGUUCGCCAUUUAAAGUGGUACGCGAGCUGGGUUUAGAACGUCGUGAGACAGUUCGGUCCCUAUCUGCCGUGGGCGCUGGAGAAUUGAGGGGGGCUGCUCCUAGUACGAGAGGACCGGAGUGGACGCAUCACUGGUGUUCGGGUUGUCAUGCCAAUGGCACUGCCCGGUAGCUAAAUGCGGAAGAGAUAAGUGCUGAAAGCAUCUAAGCACGAAACUUGCCCCGAGAUGAGUUCUCCCUGACCCUUUAAGGGUCCUGAAGGAACGUUGAAGACGACGACGUUGAUAGGCCGGGUGUGUAAGCGCAGCGAUGCGUUGAGCUAACCGGUACUAAUGAACCGUGAGGCUUAACCUUACAACG
rnacentral:rRNA from 1 species